AAAAGAAAGAGAUUAUGACAAAUAGCACUUACACUCUACUCACUUAGGAAAACGUAUUAAUUAGUAUUUAAAGUUUAAUAUUAUCAUAAAUAAUAAUUCUGCUCAAGGGGUAAAUAAAUUCAUAUAGAUUAGUAAAAUAUUAAACGAGGUUUUGAGCCAAAUAGUUCCAUCGUAAACAUGUGUUUAUAGUGUAUGUUAAAAAAUUAUAUCUCAGCUCAUCUCCUAUUCUUGGA
rnacentral:misc_RNA from 1 species